UGGAAUUUUUUCGAUUUUAUUAGAUAAAACAAAUAGAUGACAUUUAUACAGUUAUAGACACACAGGUAAGACGUCAUUUGUGAUAAAAACUAAAAAACGAAACCAUUCACAGUAGUUGGGAACCAUUUAAGGUGGUGGAAAGCAUUCAAAGUGGUGGAAACCAGUGAUGGAAACCAUUCACGGUGGUCGGAAACCAUUAGUGGAAACAAUUCGAGGUGGUGGAAACGAUUCACGGUAGUUGGAAACCAAUCAAGGUGGUGGUAGACAUAUACAUGGAAAAUAAAAUCUUUUUGAGUGGCAUGGACCAGAGAAAUCAAAUAAAAGCUCCUCAUCCACUUGUUCAUCUUCAGAUCUUCCUGCAAGGCAAUGAAAGAAAAUAUAGGUUAUUUAUGAGUCUGAGGCUCAGAGGACAGCGGUAAUUCGUUUAGAAUUAACUUAUAUCAUUGUAUUCUAUAUGAUCUUGUUAUAAUGUUUUAAUAGUUGAAUUAUUCCACUUACCUAAUAUAAUACUAAAAAUGUAACCAAUUACAACUGUUACUAGCAUUCCAACACCACCGUAGUAAAAAAAGGACAAGCUGUAAAAUUUUUCCAAGCCUCCUCUAUGCAAUAACAAAAAACACAUUUCAAACAUAGCUGCCGGAUUUAAUUCUGCAAAGUAUUCUACAUUGUGAUCAAUGUAUAAUUAUGUAUAACAUAAAAUUCAUGUAUGUGAUUUUAAUGCAUUUGUGCAUUCACGACAAAAAAUUGUUUACUCGUUCUAAAGAAUGAGCUAAGAUCGCGAAUCUACCAAUUUAUAAGGAUAUAUUUAUCAAUUAA